AAGGUGGAGAGGCCGUGUGGGUCACCAGGCGAGAGGAGAGAGAGAGAGAGAGAGACACACAGACCGGCUGGCCGGUGGUUGAUAUAAUACGUGAACGUGACAAUCUAUGUGCAGUUUUACCUUACAGUGUUGUGCUGGUGUGUGUGUGAAGGCCUCGCUGCGGUUCAGGGGAUCAACGCAGCAGCCUCAUCACAGGGAUGUGAUGACACCACAUGAGGAGUGGUGCAGUUAGUCUGCCUCUUACAUCAUGCAGUUGCCACCAGGCAGCCCUGAGUGCUGACUGCACACAUACUUGGUUGCUACUGUGUUGUGGAAGAAUCAAGGAGAGUGAGGAUAUCAGCCACAGACUCCAAGUAGAAAAGAGGAAUCUGUUUCUGCAGAAGAGGGUCGUUGGCCAGGGAAAGGUUCCGAGCGUCCUGCAAGGUGGCCACCCCAGUCAACACCAGCACCGACCACAUCCCACACUCAUUUCCAAACAUGAUGUCAGAUGCCAGCCUUCAAGAAGAGAAAACAAUAUAUGCUACAAACAAGAAGUGCGAACACACUGAAUCAUCAAUGUUUUCUCUAAAGUAUUUACUAUACUACCCAGUGUCAAUCUAACACUGUUAUUUAGUCACCUGAGGACCCAUAACAUUGCAAUUAGGCAAUGCUUUUGUCCCCAAACAAUUCUAUAUUCCCUUUUUGUUUUGAUUUUUCAAUAAUAUUACACCCACCAAAAUUCCUUACUUCUGUGAUAUCUUAUUAUAUUAUAGAUUUUACCCAGAAUCUUCAAAAUAUGUUUUAGGACAUUAUUAAUUAAUCUGGUUUUAAAACAAAACUAGAUCUAAUAUGCAGAAAAGGCAAUCAGUGAAUGACUUAUCUAGGUUAACAAGUUUGUGUACAUGAAGACAUGUUUGGUUAUAAGUCAUUUUGGCUUGGACAGAUUCCUUGUUAAACUUUGCAGAAUCUUGUUGAGUCUGGAAACUUGGCAAGUCAUGAGAUUUUAAUGUUUAUGGUAUAUGUAUCAUGCUUAUAUGGACCUUCAGAAAGGAAGACCAAGGAUGGGAUGUUGUGCAUUAGGAGAGAGAGAGAGAGAGAGAGAGAGAGAGAGAGAGAGACAGACAGACCAGACCAUCCUCAACUUGUCUAGGUGUGACUUCCAAUGUGGGACACCUCAAAUGUGAGUGGCCAACACAUAGUAAAAAAAUUAUUCUGAAUAUCACCCCUCAGUCUCACUCUCAACAUAUUCAGAAUAAUUUUUUUACCGAGACUGAGGGUGAUAUGCAUGAGAAUUGGACUACCAUGGUUUUGUAAUUACUAACCACAGCUGCUUCAUCAUACCCACCCAACCACCCCACCCCACCCCACAGUAUAUUAUUGUCUUUUGUCACAGCCACUCAGAUAAGCACUCAUUUCCAAACAAGAUGUCAGAUGCCUGGCUAUCAAGGGUUAAAAUAAAAACUGAUAUAUAAUUACAAACCACAGUUGUUCGCCACCCCUAUCUCUCUCUCUCUCUCUCUCUCUCUCUCUCUCUCUCUCUCUCUCUCUCUCUCUCUCUCUCUCUCUCUCUCUCCACACCUCACAGCCCCACAGUAUGUCCCCCCACAGUAUAUUUACAAACCACAGUUGCUCUCCACAACCUCUUGUAUAAUGCUAGGUCUCUCUCUCUCUCUCUCUCUCUCUCUCUCUCUCUCUCUCUCUCUCUCUCUCUCUCUCUCUCUCUCUCUCCAGUAUGUCCCCCCACAGUAUAUUUACAAACCACAGUUGCUCUCCACAACCUCUUGUACAAGCUAGGGCUCUCUCUCUCUCUCUCUCGUGCUUACAGUACCGAGGCUGAGCUUUGGGAUCAAAUGGUCCUGGAAUAAGGAGUUGAACAUGCCAAUAGUCAUAUUCUUCCUUGUGUUGAGUAAGCACGUGGCUUGCUAUGGGUAAUCUUGCAUGAUUUUCUGAAUAUUGUGAUGCAUUUUCAUCUUCAUGAACUAAGAAUUCUGGGUUGUGAUACUUGUCAAUAUGUGAUGCAUUUUCAUAUUCAUGAACUAAGAAUUCUGGCUUGUGAUACUUGUCAAUAUCCUCCACAGGCACAACAUUCACUGCUUUUUGCUUAACUUUAGAUUUUGACCACUGUUUGGGCUUCCUUACGUUUUCUUGAUUAGGCGAUGCACCUAAUCCCAAGGUACUCUGUUCAUCAGAUGGAAAGUCUGAGGAAACACGUUGUGUUGAAGUAUCUUUGAAUAUAUAAAAUGCUUGACUAUUAGUCUCUGAAGGCAAAUCUUGGAUACAUCAGCCAGCUGGACCACCCAGUGCAGGCCCACUUCUGUUACCACCAACCCUAUGAUCCUGGGAUUUCAGGGCAGAAAGGGCCACAUGCUCAUUCUGAACCGCUAAUCUCUUGGUCAUCCAUCCUCCCCUCUAUGGUAGAAUGACUCGCUCUAAUCUGGAACAUCUUGCGGGAUUCCUGAAGACUACACAGAGGCUUUGCUCCUGCUUGAAGGCCUUUCUCAUAAAUGGCAUCAGCUCACUUAUAAUUGCUAGUCUUCUCCAAUUCCCAUACCCAUUUUGAUGUAGUAUUCUGCCAAAGAUAAACAUGAGCCUUUUGUC